rnacentral:rRNA from 1 species
GUGGGGAAUCUUAGACAAUGGGCGCAAGCCUGAUCUAGCCAUGCCGCGUGAGUGAUGAAGGCCCUAGGGUUGUAAAGCUCUUUCAGCUGGGAAGAUAAUGACGGUACCAGCAGAAGAAGCCCCGGCUAACUCCGUGCCAGCAGCCGCGGUAAUACGGAGGGGGCUAGCGUUGUUCGGAAUUACUGGGCGUAAAGCGCGCGUAGGCGGACUGAAAAGUUGGGGGUGAAAUCCCGGGGCUCAACCUCGGAACUGCCUUCAAAACUAUCAGUCUGGAGUUCGAGAGAGGUGAGUGGAAUUCCGAGUGUAGAGGUGAAAUUCGUAGAUAUUCGGAGGAACACCAGUGGCGAAGGCGGCUCACUGGCUCGAUACUGACGCUGAGGUGCGAAAGCGUGGGGAGCAAACAGGAUUAGAUACCCGGGUAGUCC